rnacentral:tRNA from 1 species
GGCCGAGUACCAGAGUGGUUAAUGGCGGAGACUGCAAAUCUCUCGAUUCAUGGGUUCGAAUCCCAUCUCGGCCU